rnacentral:rRNA from 1 species
GGGUUGUGAGGUUAAGCGACUAAGCGUACACGGUGGAUGCCCUGGCAGUCAGAGGCGAUGAAGGACGUGCUAAUCUGCGAUAAGCGUCGGUAAGGUGAUAUGAACCGUUAUAACCGGCGAUUUCCGAAUGGGGAAACCCAGUGUGAUUCGUCACACUAUCAUUAACUGAAUCCAUAGGUUAAUGAGGCGAACCGGGGGAACUGAAACAUCUAAGUACCCCGAGGAAAAGAAAUCAACCGAGAUUCCCCCAGUAGCGGCGAGCGAACGGGGAGCAGCCCAGAGCCUGAAUCAGUGUGUGUGUUAGUGGAAGCGUCUGGAAAGGCGCGCGAUACAGGGUGACAGCCCCGUACACAAAAAUGCACAUACUGUGAGCUCGAUGAGUAGGGCGGGACACGUGGUAUCCUGUCUGAAUAUGGGGGGACCAUCCUCCAAGGCUAAAUACUCCUGACUGACCGAUAGUGAACCAGUACCGUGAGGGAAAGGCGAAAAGAACCCCGGCGAGGGGAGUGAAAAAGAACCUGAAACCGUGUACGUACAAGCAGUGGGAGCCUCUUAAUGGGGUGACUGCGUACCUUUUGUAUAAUGGGUCAGCGACUUAUAUUCUGUAGCAAGGUUAACCGAAUAGGGGAGCCGAAGGGAAACCGAGUCUUAACUGGGCGUUAAGUUGCAGGGUAUAGACCCGAAACCCGGUGAUCUAGCCAUGGGCAGGUUGAAGGUUGGGUAACACUAACUGGAGGACCGAACCGACUAAUGUUGAAAAAUUAGCGGAUGACUUGUGGCUGGGGGUGAAAGGCCAAUCAAACCGGGAGAUAGCUGGUUCUCCCCGAAAGCUAUUUAGGUAGCGCCUCGUGAAUUCAUCUCCGGGGGUAGAGCACUGUUUCGGCAAGGGGGUCAUCCCGACUUACCAACCCGAUGCAAACUGCGAAUACCGGAGAAUGUUAUCACGGGAGACACACGGCGGGUGCUAACGUCCGUCGUGAAGAGGGAAACAACCCAGACCGCCAGCUAAGGUCCCAAAGUCAUGGUUAAGUGGGAAACGAUGUGGGAAGGCCCAGACAGCCAGGAUGUUGGCUUAGAAGCAGCCAUCAUUUAAAGAAAGCGUAAUAGCUCACUGGUCGAGUCGGCCUGCGCGGAAGAUGUAACGGGGCUAAACCAUGCACCGAAGCUGCGGCAGCGACACUAUGUGUUGUUGGGUAGGGGAGCGUUCUGUAAGCCUGCGAAGGUGUACUGUGAGGUAUGCUGGAGGUAUCAGAAGUGCGAAUGCUGACAUAAGUAACGAUAAAGCGGGUGAAAAGCCCGCUCGCCGGAAGACCAAGGGUUCCUGUCCAACGUUAAUCGGGGCAGGGUGAGUCGACCCCUAAGGCGAGGCCGAAAGGCGUAGUCGAUGGGAAACAGGUUAAUAUUCCUGUACUUGGUGUUACUGCGAAGGGGGGACGGAGAAGGCUAUGUUGGCCGGGCGACGGUUGUCCCGGUUUAAGCGUGUAGGCUGGUUUUCCAGGCAAAUCCGGAAAAUCAAGGCUGAGGCGUGAUGACGAGGCACUACGGUGCUGAAGCAACAAAUGCCCUGCUUCCAGGAAAAGCCUCUAAGCAUCAGGUAACAUCAAAUCGUACCCCAAACCGACACAGGUGGUCAGGUAGAGAAUACCAAGGCGCUUGAGAGAACUCGGGUGAAGGAACUAGGCAAAAUGGUGCCGUAACUUCGGGAGAAGGCACGCUGAUAUGUAGGUGAAGUCCCUCGCGGAUGGAGCUGAAAUCAGUCGAAGAUACCAGCUGGCUGCAACUGUUUAUUAAAAACACAGCACUGUGCAAACACGAAAGUGGACGUAUACGGUGUGACGCCUGCCCGGUGCCGGAAGGUUAAUUGAUGGGGUUAGCGCAAGCGAAGCUCUUGAUCGAAGCCCCGGUAAACGGCGGCCGUAACUAUAACGGUCCUAAGGUAGCGAAAUUCCUUGUCGGGUAAGUUCCGACCUGCACGAAUGGCGUAAUGAUGGCCAGGCUGUCUCCACCCGAGACUCAGUGAAAUUGAACUCGCUGUGAAGAUGCAGUGUACCCGCGGCAAGACGGAAAGACCCCGUGAACCUUUACUAUAGCUUGACACUGAACAUUGAGCCUUGAUGUGUAGGAUAGGUGGGAGGCUUUGAAGUGUGGACGCCAGUCUGCAUGGAGCCGACCUUGAAAUACCACCCUUUAAUGUUUGAUGUUCUAACGUUGGCCCCUGAUCGGGGUUGCGGACAGUGUCUGGUGGGUAGUUUGACUGGGGCGGUCUCCUCCUAAAGAGUAACGGAGGAGCACGAAGGUUGGCUAAUCCUGGUCGGACAUCAGGAGGUUAGUGCAAUGGCAUAAGCCAGCUUGACUGCGAGCGUGACGGCGCGAGCAGGUGCGAAAGCAGGUCAUAGUGAUCCGGUGGUUCUGAAUGGAAGGGCCAUCGCUCAACGGAUAAAAGGUACUCCGGGGAUAACAGGCUGAUACCGCCCAAGAGUUCAUAUCGACGGCGGUGUUUGGCACCUCGAUGUCGGCUCAUCACAUCCUGGGGCUGAAGUAGGUCCCAAGGGUAUGGCUGUUCGCCAUUUAAAGUGGUACGCGAGCUGGGUUUAGAACGUCGUGAGACAGUUCGGUCCCUAUCUGCCGUGGGCGCUGGAGAACUGAGGGGGGCUGCUCCUAGUACGAGAGGACCGGAGUGGACGCAUCACUGGUGUUCGGGUUGUCAUGCCAAUGGCACUGCCCGGUAGCUAAAUGCGGAAGAGAUAAGUGCUGAAAGCAUCUAAGCACGAAACUUGCCCCGAGAUGAGUUCUCCCUGACUCCCUGAGAGUCCUGAAGGAACGUUGAAGACGACGACGUUGAUAGGCCGGGUGUGUAAGCGCAGCGAUGCGUUGAGCUAACCGGUACUAAUGAACCGUGAGGCUUAACCUUACAACGCCGAAGCUGUU